rnacentral:rRNA from 1 species
UACGAAGGGGGCUAGCGUUGUUCGGAAUUACUGGGCGUAAAGCGCGCGCAGGCGGUUCUCCAAGUCAGUGGUGAAAGCCCGGAGCUCAACUCCGGAACUGCCAUUGAAACUGUUGAACUUGAGGACGAGAGAGGUGAGUGGAAUUCCCAGUGUAGAGGUGAAAUUCGUAGAUAUUCGGAAGAACACCAGUGGCGAAGGCGACUCACUGGACACAUAUUGACGCUGAGGUGCGAAAGCGUGGGGAGCAAACAGG